AAAGACUAAGAUAGCAUGACUUCUUGAGAAGCAAUUUCCACGGAAGUGUAUUUGUGGGGGAUGCAGGCACGCAGCAUUGAAUGGUAUGCGGCCCUACAUGCUUGGUGUUGAUUAUUGAUGCGUCACCCUUCUUCCCUCAUUAGAUAAGGUGCUCAUUAUUUUUGGGAUCAUUUCAAUAUUAAUUAAUAUAUUAAAUCAAGGAUCCAAUAAAAUAAUAGGAUGUUGAGAUGGUCUUGAAACUUUUAUUACUGUAACAAAGAUGCAUAGCUUUG
rnacentral:misc_RNA from 1 species